rnacentral:rRNA from 1 species
AUUCCAGCUCUAAUAGCGUAUAUUAAUGUUGUUGCAGUUAAAAAGCUCGUAGUUGGAUUUUGGUGUUUGACAAACGGUCGGCCUUACGGUUUGUACUGUUUGUUGGCACUUCUUUUCUGGGGAACUCACUGUUCUUAAUUGAAGGGUGUUGUAACGCAGAUCGUUUACUUUGAAAAAAUUAGAGUGUUCAAAGCAGGCCAACGCAUUGAAUACAUUAGCAUGGAAUAAUGGAAUAGGACUUUGGUCUUAUUUUGUUGGUUUCUAAGGCCGAGGUAAUGAUUAAUAGGGAUAGUUGGGGGCGUUUAUAUUCCGUUGUCAGAGGUGAAAUUCUUGGAUUUACGGAAGAUAAACUACUGCGAAAGCAUUCGCCAAGGAUGUUUUCAUUA